rnacentral:snoRNA from 1 species
ACGUGAUGAACAACACAUUACACAGACCUGUUCCGAAAUACAAUGUAGAAGAACAUGUUUCUCUUUUUUCUGAU